rnacentral:rRNA from 1 species
GACGUAGGGCGCGAGCGUUGUCCGGAUUUAUUGGGCGUAAAGAGCUCGUAGGCGGCUCGUUGCGUCGGCUGUGAAAACCCGCAGCUCAACUGUGGGCUUGCAGCCGAUACGGGCGGGCUGGGAUUCGGUAGGGGAGACUGGAAUUCCUGGUGUAGCGGUGGAAUGCGCAGAUAUCAGGAGGAACACCGGUGGCGAAGGCGGGUCUCUGGGCAGUAACUGACGCUGAGGAGCGAAGGCGUGGGGAGCGAACAGG